AGAUUGAACGCUGGCGGCAUGCCUUACACAUGCAAGUCGAGCGGCAGCGCGGGGGCAACCCUGGCGGCGAGCGGCGAACGGGUGAGUAAUGCAUCGGAACGUGUCCUCUUGUGGGGGAUAACCAGUCGAAAGACUGGCUAAUACCGCAUGAGAUCGAGAGAUGAAAGCAGGGGAUCCGCAAGGCCUUGCGCGAGAGGAGCGGCCGAUCGCCCGAUUAGCUAGGUUGGUGGGGUAAAAGCCUACCAAGGCGACGAUCGGAGCUGGUCUGAGAGGACGACCACGGCCACACGUGGGGCUGAGACCACGGCCCAGACCUCCGUACGGGAGCAGCAGGUGGGAAUUUGGACAAGU
rnacentral:rRNA from 1 species